CGCCUGUUUAUCAAAAACAUAGCCUUGAGUGUAAUUCAAGGUAAAACCUGCCCAGUGCAAAUAGUAAAUGGCCGCAGUACCCUGACUGUGCUAAGGUAGCAUAAUCAGUUGGCUUUUAAAUGGAGUCGGGAAUGAAUGGAUUAAUGGGGUUAAGCUGUCUCUUUUAUACUUUAUUGAAUUUACUUAUUAGGUGAAAAUGCCUAAGUUAAGAAAAAAGACGAGAAGACCCUAGGAGUUUUCACCAAAAUGUGCUAAUACACUUUACGUUUUUGUUGGGGCGACAAGAGAAAAUUUUAACUUCUUUUUAAUAUAAGCCGACUAUGUAAGAAAAAUUAAACUACCCUAGGGAUAACAGCGUAAUUCUUUAUUGAGUUUGCGACCUCGAUGUUGGACUAGGAAUUUGCUGGGCUAGCCGCCUAGUAUAGCUGUUCUGUUCGAACUUUAUAUUCCUACGUGAUCUGAGUUCAGACCGGA
rnacentral:rRNA from 1 species